rnacentral:rRNA from 1 species
AUUGAACGCUGGCGGAAUGCUUUACACAUGCAAGUUGAACGGCAGCACGGGGGCAACCCUGGUGGCGAGUGGCGAACGGGUGAGUAAUACAUUGGAACGUGCCCAGUCGUGGGGGAUAAAGUAGCGAAAGUUACGCUAAUACCGCAUACGAUUUAAGGAUGAAAGCGGGGGGCCGUAAGGCCUCGCGCGAUUGGAGCGGCCGAUGUCAGAUUAGGUAGUUGGUGGGGUAAAGGCCUACCAAGCCUGCGAUCUGUAGCUGGUUUGAGAGGACGACCAGCCCCCCUGGGACUGAGACACGGCCCAGACUCCUACGGGAGGCAGCAGUGGGGAAUUUUGGACAAUGGGCGCAAGCCUGAUCCAGCCAUUUCGCGUGCAGGACGAAGGCCCUCGGGUUGUAAACUGCUUUUGUACGGAACGAAAAGCCUUGGGCUAAUACCCCGGGGUCAUGACGGUACCGUAAGAAUAAGCACCGGCUAACUACGUG